GCUGGAAAGAGUCAGAAGAAGAAGAAGAAGGCAAAUAAUUCAAAAACUACAAAAAAUAAACAUUGAAGGACAAUUGAAUAGUUGUUUAAAACUGGCCAUUCUAUAAAAUGCUAAAAGUUAACUUAAAGGUGAACAACCCCUUUAAAGAAAAUAUAAGCAGCGGGAUGUGGAUUUAAAUGUUAUAGAGGAGACAGAUCUGUUUCCUCUUCAGUUACUUUAGUGUUCCCAUGUUUUCCAAUAGGCCUUCCUUUUAUUGUGUAUGAAAUGUGUUAUUUUUUUCUCAUUUGCUUAUUUGCUCUCCCAGGGCAAUCUAUUGGGAGUGUGUCGGGGGCUGAGACAACGGCCAGGGUGACACGGCAGAACUAUAUCUAGCAGGUCUAUCCCAGGAUACAACUCCCCCACAGGCCCAAUUAAUAGCCAGUGUCUAUUUUACAGCAGCCUCUUCUGCUGGCAUUUUCCAGAACCUACAGAUUGCCAGUCCGGGCCGAGUACCUUGGAAUUAUGGGAAGACUUUUGGCCUAAUAGUCCUAUCCUAACUGAUCCCCAGUCACAAAGCCAUUCUUGGCAGCUAAACAUAGUGCAAGCACCAUAUAAACAUCACUCCAUAGCGACAUGCAGUAAGGUUCUUCAGGGACUUCCCCUGCUAGACUUUGAUUGUGAAGUUCCAAGGAGAAGAUUUCAAUGAGCCCCCUGCACAGAACACUCUAAAGGGAGAAUGACAAAAGGGGUGACUUCUUCGUACUUCACGUCUCUGUGAUUAGAAAGAUGGUGACAAGACUUUGCCUACUGGUAGCUGCUGCCUGCUUUGCUGCAGAACUGGUACAAGGGUUCAUCUUUUUGCGCUACUGCGCAUGCACAGCCGCAAGAAAAAAGAAGAAGCCAGAAGACGAUCGCUCUGUGAUGCUUGCUGGAAGACUCCUGGGACAGUUCUGAUAUCUUCUGAUAUGAGCCCUGGGCUUCAGAGGGCAUGUCUGAGAACACUUACCUGACUCUUACAAGGAGAUGGCUCCUUUUGGCUAUAUUUGGGACCCUCUUGGACACUGAAUCACACCUUUUAGAUUAGCCAUGUAAGUUUUGUUAUGUGUCUUCCAGCGGGUGCACGUAGUAUACAUGACAUGAUGGGGAAUGGUGCCAAGAAUAACCAUUAUACACAGAAUCUCCAAUUUGUUUCCAGGAGAAACCAUUCCUGCAGAAGGACUUUGUCUCUUACCCACAGAUCUUUUCUUACCCAUCAUCCCAGUAGGACUUAAAAAGCUGAGUAGUCAAAGUCCUGAAAGGCUUCAUUUAUCUCGCUGGCCAUUUCAAGAGGGGGUCCUUUGGGCUGCGUCAGAUUCGCCGGCAGCACUCUGGUUUUGGAAUUUUAUCCUCAAGGUGAGGGCUCUGAGAUGUUUCCUCCUCAUUCUCUGCAACAUCGCUAUUGGGUUUAGUUAAUUGAGGUUGUUGUAGCUCCGGGUUUACAGAUUCUGCCUCCUCAGCUUCUUCAGCUGCCGGCUGUUGUAUCUCCAGGUUGACAGAUUCUGCCUCCUCAGCUUCUUCAGCUGCAGGCUGUUGUAUCUCCAGGUUGACAGAUUCUGCCUCCUCAGCUUCUUCAGCUGCAGGCUGUUGUAUCUCCAGGAUGACAGAUUCUGCCUCUUCAGCUUCUUCAGCUGCAGGUAUAAAAGAACAGCUUUAUAUUUCCAUCUGCCUUACCUCAGUAUGCCGGUGCCGACAUGAGAUGCCACACACUUUGGCGCCCAUCUUGAAACUCCUCUACAAGAAAAGAAAGGGCUGUGGAACACGGGGGCAUUUGUGCCCUAACAAAACCGUGGAUUUGUGAGCAAUCCGGCCUAAACACUAGAAGUACAGAAGUAGAAUGCAGUUUCCAGAGAUAAUGGCGGAUCCCCUCAUGUGUUUUACAUACAAAAUUCUACAGACUGCUUGCAACUGCCUGGUGGGGAAUCAUUGGUCAUUAUGGUUUCAAAUUUUGGGGUGGCCGGGAGUGUUCGUGUGGGAGGUGUUCAGCAAGGGCAAGAUACCAUUUGAACAUUUUUUCAACUCCGAGGCUGUGGAUAAAAUCUCAGCUGGACUGAGGUUCUUCAGACCCAAGAAAUCUUCUGAAAGAGUGUACAUACUGAUGAACAACUGCUGGAAAUGAGCUGGAUGGUCAGAAUGGGGGGGGGGCAUAUGGUGCUGCUGCCCGCACUUCUGCCUCCCCCCAGCGACGACCCCCAACCUGGAUCUCCGUGGGACAACGUCCUGCAGCGCCUCCAGCCCGUCCCACGUUGCAGAGGACAGAUCUGCUACCUGGAAUAUGCCAGUAAGAAGCAGAAGAAAAGAGAUAAAGCAGAAGGGAUGGAAUUGAGAUCAUAAUACAGAAGAAGACAGAACAUUUCCCGCCCGAACCCUCCCGUCCACACCUUAACUACAUAGAAGUCGCAUUCUGAUUGGCCGACAGGGUUGUUCUCUCUCAUUUAUAAUAAACACAAGGCAGUGAUUGUUACGCAGCACAUGAAGCCCAUUGUUUGUGUUUUUCUGCCCAACUCCCCGCACCUCUGGCACACAGAACUGGAGAAUAUUCCGGUUUGACCAAUUGUGUUUGUGCAAUGAAUAGAAACACCCGCAGUGUUUCUAAUAAUAGAAUGUAAUUGAAUGCAGGGAACCUGCCUGCCCCUCUACCCAUGAAGGGAACCCACCAGCCCCUUUACCCAUACAAGCAACCCACCUGCCCUUUUACCCACAUAAGGAACCCGCCCGCCCCUUUACGCACUCACAGAACCCGCCCACCCCUUUACACAUGCAGGGGACCCACGCAAGGGGACCACCCACCCCUUUACCCACUCAGGGAACCCAC